rnacentral:rRNA from 1 species
GACGAACGCUGGCGGCGUGCCUAAUACAUGCAAGUAGAACGCUGAAGGAGGAGCUUGCUCUUCUGGAUGAGUUGCGAACGGGUGAGUAACGCGUAGGUAACCUGCCUGGUAGCGGGGGAUAACUAUUGGAAACGAUAGCUAAUACCGCAUAACAGUAGAUGUUGCAUGACAUUUGCUUAAAAGGUGCAAUUGCACCACUACCAGAUGGACCUGGGUUGUAUUAGCUAGUUGGUGGGGUAACGGCUCACCAAGGCGACGAUGCAUAGCCGACCUGAGAGGGUGAUCGGCCACACUGGGACUGAGACACGGCCCAGACUCCUACGGGAGGGAGCAGUAGGGAAUCUUCGGCAAUGGAAGGAAGUCUGACCGAGCAACGCCGCGUGAGUGAAGAAGGUUUUCGGAUCGUAAAGCUCUGUUGUAAGAGAAGAACGAGUGUGAGAGUGGAAAGUUCACACUGUGACGGUAUCUUACCAGAAAGGGACGGCUAACUACGUG